UGUGCAAAGGUAGCAUAAUCAUUUGUCUUAUAAUUGAAGUCUGGCAUGAAAGAACUAAUGGGGAAAUACUGUCUUCUUUAGUUUUAUAGAAAUUAUUACUUAGGUGAAAAUACCUAUAUAAAUAUAAUAGACGAGAAGACCCUAGAAAUUUUUUUCAAAGAGAUUAAUAAGUCUAUAAUAUUUUGUUGGGGCGACAGAAUAACAUAUAACUUAUUUUAUUUAAUUAGUACAAUAUAAUGAGGUAAAACAAAUUACUCUAGGGAUAACAGCAUAAUUUAUUAAAGUUUGUGACCUCGAUGUUGGACUAGGAAUUUUAAUAGUCAGAAGCUAUUAAACUUGGCUCUGUUCGAGCUUUCAUUCCUACAUGAUCUGAGUUCAAAUCGA
rnacentral:rRNA from 1 species